GUGUCCAAAAAUACCCAUUUCCGAUUGUUAUGGAAACUUGAAAUUGGCCCUAAUUAAUCGGCCAUUCCGAUUAAUCGGUCGACCUCUAGUCUGCACAGCUUCCCAGGCAACCACCACAGCAGGAAUGCUGUGAUACAAAAUCAGCUUUCCCAAGGCAAUGCUGUGAAGACAGACCCAACAUACUGCUACGUAGACAGGCUCCUGGAUCUCCUCUUCAACGAGGUCACCCAUGAUCCAGCGCCGUAUGUGGGGAAGCUGUGCAAGCUGUCCAUCCCAGGACCUGUGUCUGCCCCGUGUGAAACGCCUGACAAGGAGGUGGCCAUAGCUGGAUUUGUCUCCAGCUUCAAUCUUGGGGGUUACUGAAGCCUGCUUGAUUGAAGCUGGAUACAUGGGUCCCCCUCCUCUCCCGCUCCCCUCCCCCAUCAAUCUCUGUAGUUUGUUGUAUUUCUUAAAGCCUAAGUAAUUCCCUUUUACGUGAAACAAUAUCACAUUGUGUUACUUUGUAUUGUUGUUUUUUCAAGCUUUAGGAUGGGAGUGUAGUGUUACACAUUUUACGAAUCAAUGUGUCCUGCAGACUGUAGGUGCCUAUAUUAGGCUUAUGGCUCAAUUCCUCUUUUUUAAUGUCAAAUGAUAUCUCACCAUUUAUUUCUCACCUUUAUUUAUAAUGAGUGUUCAUGUUGAUCAGUAUUUCGGCAAUGGUCUAUUGUAAAAUAUCCAAUAAAUGUCUGAUCAAUGCAUACAAUGCUG